rnacentral:rRNA from 1 species
ACCAGACUCCUACGGGAGGCAGCAGUGAGGAAUAUUGGUCAAUGGGCGGGAGCCUGAACCAGCCAAGUCGCGUGAGGGAUGACGGCCCUAUGGGUUGUAAACCUCUUUUGCCGGGGAGCAAAGUGCCGCACGUGUGCGGUUUGGAGAGUACCCGGAGAAAAAGCAUCGGCUAACUCCGUGCCAGCAGCCGCGGUAAUACGGAGGAUGCGAGCGUUAUCCGGAUUUACUGGGUGUAAAGGGCGUGUAGGCGGGAUGGUAAGUCAGAUGUGAAAACUAUGGGCUCAACCCAUAGCCUGCAUUUGAAACUAUCGUUCUUGAGUGUUGGAGAGGCAGGCGGAAUUCCGUGUGUAGCGGUGAAAUGCGUAGAUAUACGGAGGAACACCAGUGGCGAAGGCGGCCUGCUGGACAAUAACUGACGCUGAGGCGCGAAAGCGUGGGGAGCAAACAGGAUUAGAUACCCGAGUA